AAGAAUAUCUGUGUGCUUAGGGAGGAAACUUUUUGAUCUGCAGAAAAGCCAGAAGACAUCUAGGACAUCCAUAAAAAUUCAUCAGAGAGCAUUUUACUACUGAGCUGCAAAGGGAAAAACUUAAAAUGGAUAUGAAAAGUGAAGAAAGUGAUCAUAGGAGAAAACCAUUUCAGAUGACAAGAGCACCUCAAAGGCAGCAGCCUCAAGGAGCAGCCAUGGCCCCAGACUUGUCGCACGGAUGCAGAAAACUUAAUGGAGGAGGCU
rnacentral:lncRNA from 1 species